AAUCGAACAUAUUAGCGCGUGGCACCCAUGCUACGCUGACCGGGGAUGCCCAUCGGCAUCUAUUCAGAAUGAGAGAAGUUGAAGGUAUGACACAGGGAACUGUGAAAUGGUUUAACAGCGAAAAAGGCUUCGGUUUUAUCGCUCCCGAUGGCGGCGCAGCAGAUGUGUUCGUCCACUACUCGGAAAUCCAGGGCAACGGCUACAGGUCGCUCGAGGAUAACCAGCGAGUCGAGUUCAACAUCGAGCAGGGGGCCAAAGGCCCGCAAGCCGUCAAGGUGACUGCCGUUUAAUCCGACUUACACGUCAGGUGGGCUGGUGGGGAACAUUCCCGCCAGCCCACU
rnacentral:other from 1 species